rnacentral:misc_RNA from 1 species
AACGCACAUUGCGCCCCUUGGUAUUCCAUGGGGCAUGCCUGUUCGAGCGUCAUUUACACCCUCAAGCUCUGCUUGGUGUUGGGCGUCUGUCCCGCUUCAUGCGUGGACUCGCCCCAAAGAUAUUGGCAGCGGUCUUGCCAGCUUCUCGCGCAGCACUUUGCGUUUCUCGAAGCUUUGGCGGAUCGGCGUCCACCAAGUCUAUAUCACAGUUUGACCUCGGAUCAGGUAGGGUUACCCGCUGAACUUAA